rnacentral:rRNA from 1 species
GUCUACGGCAAUGCCACCCUGAACAAGCCUGAUGUCUGAUCUCGGAAGCUAAGCAGGGUCGGGCCUGGUUAGUACUUGGAUGGGAGACCACCUAGGAAGACCAGGUACUGUAGGCA